rnacentral:rRNA from 1 species
CGUCACACCCUCUCGCCGGCAGCGCCAGGAGGGGAUAAGGGCGACAGCCCACGCCUCCUCGAUCCCCUCUCCCACUUCUCCCUGCCACUCCAUCCACCUCGCUCUCGCCCUCACCCAUCGCUCUUCCGCUCCCCACCGUUUCCCCCAUCUCCCGAGCGCGGCCGUCGCCGACGCGCUUCACCGCGGCCACCGGCCGGCCCUCGUCUUCUGCCACGCCGUAAAGUCUCUUCAUCGUCUGCCACGCCGCCUGGUGCCAGGUUGGGGCUAGGGAGGUCUACAGCGUCGGAUCCCCUUCAUCGUCUUCCUCUGGUCGCCGCCACCGCAUUCGACUCCGUCCAUCACCCUGCUGCUACUAAGUUGCGACCGGGCCACCGUGCGCCUCCCCG